GAAGUCCUGAUGUGUCCGUUUAUUUUCACUAUCUGUUUUGACCGAACAAUGUAUGUUACGGGAGCUCGGGUUUGUAAAUGGCGUACACGCCUCCCUUGCGAGGACUUACAAAGUUUACUGCAGAGCACCCACCUGCCUAGAGCGGGUUCAAAACAUAUAGAUUCAUAGGACGGCACGAUCGGGAUUUCC
rfam:Bacillus sp. FJAT-27231 Scaffold1, whole genome shotgun sequence.